rnacentral:rRNA from 1 species
UACCGGCAGCCCAAGUGAUGGCCGAUCUUAUUGGGCCUAAAGCGUCCGUAGCUGGCCGCGCAAGUCCAUCGGGAAAUCCACCUGCUCAACAGGUGGACGUCCGGUGGAAACUGCACGGCUUGGGACCGGAAGGCGCGACGGGUACGUCCGGGGUAGGAGUGAAAUCCCGUAAUCCUGGACGGACCGCCGAUGGCGAAAGCACGUCGCGAAAACGGAUCCGACAGUGAGGGACGAAAGCUAGGGUCUCGAACCGG